rnacentral:rRNA from 1 species
CCUUGCCAGCCCGCUCAGAAACUUAAGGAAUUGACGGGGGCCCGCACAAGCGGUGGAGCAUGUGGUUUAAUUCGAUGAUACGCGAGGAACCUUACCUGGGCUCAAAUGUAUGUUGACGUAUUCUGAAAGGGAUACUUCUUCGGACAAUAUACAAGGUGCUGCAUGGUUGUCGUCAGCUCGUGCCGUGAGGUGUCGGGUUAAGUCCCAUAACGAGCGCAACCCCUAUCAUUAGUUGCCAUCAGGUCAAGCUGGGGACUCUAAUGAAACUGCCUACGCAAGUAGUGAGGAAGGUGGGGAUGACGUCAAAUCAGCACGGCCCUUACGUCCAGGGCUACACACGUGCUACAAUGGCCGGUACAAAGGGCAGCUACCUGGUGACAGGAUGCUAAUCUCAAAAGCCGGUCUCAGUUCGGAUCGGAGUCUGCAACUCGACUGCGUGAAGUCGGAAUCGCUAGUAAUCGUGAAUCAGAAUGUCACGGUGAAUACGUUCCCGGGCCUU